rnacentral:miRNA from 1 species
AGAGGGGGUCGAUGGGGUCCCG